rnacentral:tRNA from 1 species
GAGGGUAUAGCUCAAGUGGUAGAGCACAUGCUUAGCAUGCAUGAGGUCAUGGGUUCAAUCCCCAGUACCUCCU